rnacentral:rRNA from 1 species
GUGGGGAAUAUUGGACAAUGGGCGAAAGCCUGAUCCAGCCAUGCCGCGUGUGUGAAGAAGGUCUUCGGAUUGUAAAGCACUUUAAGUUGGGAGGAAGGGCAGUAAGUUAAUACCUUGCUGUUUUGAUGUUACCGACAGAAUAAGCACCGGCUAACUUCGUGCCAGCAGCCGCGGUAAUACGAAGGGUGCAAGCGUUAAUCGGAAUUACUGGGCGUAAAGCGCGCGUAGGUGGUUUUGUAAGUUGGAGGUGAAAUCCCCGGGCUCAACCUGGGAACUGACUCCGAAACUGCAUGACUAGAGUACGGUAGAGGGUAGUGGAAUUUCCUGUGUAGCGGUGAAAUGCGUAGAUAUAGGAAGGAACACCAGUGGCGAAGGCGACUACCUGGACUGAUACUGACACUGAGGUGCGAAAGCGUGGGGAGCAAACAGGAUUAGAUACCCGAGUAGUCC